rnacentral:lncRNA from 1 species
AAUACAAAAAUUGGCCAGGUGUGGUGUUGCACCCCUGUAAUCCCAGCUACUCAGGAGGCUGAGGUACGAGAACUGCUUGAACCUGGAAGUCGGAGGUUGCAGUGAGCCCCUUGCACCAUUGCACUCCAGCCUGGGUGACAGAGUGAGACUCUUUCAAAAAAAAAAAAAAAAAAAAAGAAAACUUUCAUCACCCUUGGUAUGCAUUCAGUUUGGGAAUAAGAGCUUGGUGUCCAUUAUUCCAGGCAUCCCAAUGGCUACACUGAAUCUCUUGGGGACUCCUUACUUUGGUAGGUAGCUGAAAAUGAGUUCAAGAGCACACAAUGUAGAUAAUGUUACCUUCAACUUCCUUCUCUGGCCUCUGCUUCUAUAGAUUGGGAAGGGGUUGUGGGGAGGAAUGUGGAAUUUGUGACCAUGGAGGGCAGGUGCGAGGCUGCUUCUGCCACUGCUUCAUGACUAACUCAGAGGGUAGUCGCUGGCCCCAUUGUUGGAGGUUCCUUUCAUUACAUUCAAAGCAGACUCCUCUUUUCUUACUUUAGUUUUGGGCUCUGGUCAGCAAUUCUCAGGUGACAUCCUAUUACACAGGAAUAGAAUGUACAUAGGAAGAUGUUUGUAAUAGUUAGGGAGUCUCUAGAUAGAUAGAGCUGCUCUGAAAAGUAAUGAGCAUCCGAUUAUUGAUUUUAGGGUAUGGUGAAGAGUAUUCCUGCUUGUGAAGAAUACAAAGGCUCUGGUCAGCAAUUCUCAGGUGACAUCCUAUUACACAGGAAUAGAAUGUACAUAGGAAGAUGUUUGUAAUAGU